AGCUGAUAUAUCUAAAGUACUUAGAGGAGUGCCUGAUCCACAUUAAGUAUUAUGAAGUGUUUGUUACUAUUUUUGCCUUAAAAAUUAUUAUUGUAGCAGCCCCAAUGAGAGAGAGUGGUGACUAGGACUAUCUUUAAGUGGAGAACAUGAAAAGGUUCAUGAUGUAUUGUAGGAUUAUAGUCAAUAGGACGUCGGGGGAGAUGAUUGGAUAUGGAGAGUGAGGUGGAGGGAGAGGGCAAGAAUUGCUCCUAGGAUUCUAGCUUGGAUGUCUGUAUGGAAUUGAGAUUAUUGUGAUUGAGGACAACAGGAAUUGUAUAUAGGCUUAACAGAGAUUCCUGGUUACUCAUGCUUUAAAAAAGUCUUCAUUUUAAUAGCAUUGAAAGAUUUGGGCAUCACAGGAAUGGUUUCUGAAAUUUAAAGUGCUCUAAAACAAAGCCACCUUCUGACCCUUUGCCCCACUAUUUUAGAAAAUAGGGGUGGGGAUAGGUAAUUAUGUGAUAAUAUGGCUUUUCUUUCAAGAAUCAAGAAUGACCUCAACAGGCAAUCAAUCCUCGUAUAAUAAAUGUUGUCAGAAAAAAUGCAUAAUAUUAACAAUUCUAAAAUAGCAUUGUCGUCUUUGAUAGGUGCUCUCCAAAAUUUAGUUGUUAUAUGUUUGAUAAACUUAAUAAACUACAUGAUAAAUUUACCCAGUGGGGGCUGCAAUAUGGUGUUCAGAUCUUUUUUUCGAAAGCAUGCACACAAACAUGCAGAUAAAAUUUUAGCACUUAUUAGUUUAAAUGCCUUGAAUGGCUUAGCACCUUACCUUUGCUGUACUAAGUUGAUCUUUCUCACCAAGGUAUCAGCAGGACUCCCAUCCUGAAGAUAUACUGUGGAGAUAAAGGAACCCUUUGUUCUUUGCCAUGGUGAUCAACUCGUAACACCUGCUUUGAAAAUUUCCGAGGCUGGUGUCAUCUUGGCCACGGUGUUGUGAGAUGCAUAUGUGUUUAUGUGCUAGAGUGAACCUAGAACUAUUUAUUCUUUUCUUCUUUUUGAAGUUAUUUUCUUCUUUCAAUUUUUAUCAAAGUAAUACAUGUACAUGGUAAAAAUAAAAUUGUAAUGAAGAAUUUAUACUGAAAAACAACAGCUCUCUGCUGCACUUCUCAGUCCCACUUUCCAGAG
rnacentral:lncRNA from 1 species